rnacentral:rRNA from 1 species
UACGUAGGGGGCAAGCGUUGUCCGGAUUUAUUGGGCGUAAAGAGCGUGUAGGCGGUUUGGUAGGUCCGUUGUGAAAACUCGAGGCUCAACCUCGAGACGCCGAUGGAAACCAUCAGACUAGAGUCCGGAAGAGGAGAGUGGAAUUCCGGGUGGAGCGGUGAAAUGCGUAGAGAUCCGGAGGAACACCGACGGCGCAAGCAGCGCCCUAAACGAGACCUGACGCUCAGGCACGAAAGCUGGGGGAGCAAACAGG